CCUACGGGAGGCAGCAGUGAGGAAUAUUGGUCAAUGGGAGAGAGCCUGAACCAGCCAAGCCGCGUGAGGGAAGACGGCCCUAUGGGUUGUAAACCUCUUUUGUCGGAGAACAAAACCCGGGACGUGUCCCGGACUGCGUGUAUCCGAAGAAAAAGCAUCGGCUAACUCCGUGCCAGCCGCCGCGGUAAUACGGGGGAUGCGAGCGUUAUCCGGAUUUAUUGGGUUUAAAGGGUGCGUAGGCGGUCCGUUAAGUCAGCGGUAAAAUUGCGGGGCUCAACCCCGUCGAGCCGUUGAAACUGGCAGACUUGAGUUGGCGAGAAGUACGCGGAAUGCGCGGUGUAGCGGUGAAAUGCAUAGAUAUCGCGCAGAACUCCGAUUGCGAAGGCAGCGUACCGGCGCCAGACUGACGCUGAGGCACGAAAGCGUGGGGAUCGAACAGGAUUAGAUACCCCAGUAGUC
rnacentral:rRNA from 1 species